rnacentral:rRNA from 1 species
AGUGAACGCUGGCGGUAGGCCUAACACAUGCAAGUCGAACGGCAGCACAGUAAGAGCUUGCUCUUACGGGUGGCGAGUGGCGGACGGGUGAGGAAUACAUCGGAAUCUACUUUUUCGUGGGGGAUAACGUAGGGAAACUUACGCUAAUACCGCAUACGACCUACGGGUGAAAGCAGGGGAUCUUCGGACCUUGCGCGAUUGAAUGAGCCGAUGUCGGAUUAGCUAGUUGGCGGGGUAAAGGCCCACCAAGGCGACGAUCCGUAGCUGGUCUGAGAGGAUGAUCGGCCACAGUGGAACUGAGACACGGUCCAGACUCCUACGGGAGGCAGCAGUGGGGAAUAUUGGACAAUGGGCGCAAGCCUGAUCCAGCCAUACCGCGUGGGUGAAGAAGGCGUUCGGGUUGUAAAGCCCUUUUGUUGGGAAAGAAAAGCAGCAGGUUAAUACCCCGCUGUUCUGACGGUACCCAAAGAAUAAGCACCGGCUAACUUCGUG